UGGCGGCGUGCCUAUACAUGCAAGUCGAGCGAACCAUGGGAGCUUGCUCCCUGAGGUUAGCGGCGGACGGGUGAGUAACACGUGGGUAACCUGCCUGUAAGAUUGGGAUAACUCCGGGAAACCGGAGCUAAUACCGGAUAACAUUUUGAACCGCAUGGUUCGAAAUUGAAAGAUGGCUUCGGCUAUCACUUACAGAUGGACCCGCGGCGCAUUAGCUAGUUGGUGAGGUAACGGCUCACCAAGGCGACGAUGCGUAGCCGACCUGAGAGGGUGAUCGGCCACACUGGGACUGAGACACGGCCCAGACUCCUACGGGAGGCAGCAGUAGGGAAUCUUCCGCAAUGGACGAAAGUCUGACGGAGCAACGCCGCGUGAACGAUGAAGGCCUUCGGGUCGUAAAGUUCUGUUGUUAGGGAAGAACAAGUACCAGAGUAACUGCUGGUACCUUGACGGUACCUAACCAGAAAGCCACGGCUAACUACGUGCCAGCAGCCGCGGUAAUACGUAGGUGGCAAGCGUUGUCCGGAAUUAUUGGGCGUAAAGCGCGCGCAGGCGGUUUCUUAAGUCUGAUGUGAAAGCCCACGGCUCAACCGUGGAGGGUCAUUGGAAACUGGGAAACUUGAGUGCAGAAGAGGAGAGU
rnacentral:rRNA from 1 species